UAUCUCUGUAGAGUCUGCAUAUCAAUAAGCGGAGGAAAAGAAACUAACUAGGAUUCCCUUAGUAACGGCGAGUGAAGCGGGAAGAGCUCAAAUUUGAAAUCUUCAAGGUUCUACCUUGACGAAUUGUAGUUUAAAGAAGUGUUUUCUGUUGGAUGUUUUGGUAAAAGUUCUUUGGAAUAGGACAUCAUAGAGGGUGAGAAUCCCGUAUUUGACCAUUACUUUCCAGCUUUGUGAUACACUUUCAAAGAGUCGGAUUGUUUGGGAAUGCAGUCCAAAAUGGGUGGUAAAUUUCAUCUAAAGCUAAAUAUUGGCGAGAGACCGAUAGCGAACAAGUACCGUGAGGGAAGAUGAAAAGAACUUUGAAAAGAGAGUUAAACAGUACGUGAAAUUGUCAAAAGGGAAGCGUUUGACACCAGUGUUGUUUUCUCGAAAAUCAAUUAAAAAAGUCUGGAUUUUGUAUUGUUUAAGACUUUAUCAGCUUACUGCUACUCUUUUCUUGUCUUUUUUAAUGCACUUUUCGUUUAACAAGUCAACAUCAAUUUCUUUUGUUGUAAAAGAGUCAUUGGAAGGUGGCUUUCUUUUCGGAGAAAGUGUUUAUAGCCUUUGGCCUCUGCAAUCGGAGAGAUUGAGGUCUGCAGCGUAGAUCCUUCGGGGUUAGAUACAUUUGUGCUAAGUUAUAGCCUUUCAUAGACAACUUGUUGACUAUGAUCAGUCAUGUAGCUUACUCGCUUAUGCUAUUUUACCUACGCUUAGGAUGUUGACGAUCAGCUGAGCGCG
rnacentral:rRNA from 1 species